UGAGGGGGGGGGGCAAAAUGGGGGGCAAAAAAUAAUUGGGGGUAUUUGCCCCCCGUUGCCCCCCCCCCCCUCCCUCCUGGCG